GACGAACGCUGGCGGCGUGCUUAACACAUGCAAGUCGUACGGUAAGGCCCUUUCUGGGGUACACUAGUGGCGAACGGGCGAGUAACACGUGAGUAACCUGCCCACAACUUUGGGAUAACGCUAGGAAACUGGUGCUAAUACUGGAUAUGUGCUCCUGCUGCAUGGUGGGGGUUGGAAAGCUCCGGCGGUGUUGGAUGGACUCGCGGCCUAUCAGCUUGUUGGUGGGGUAGUGGCCUGCCAAGGCGGCGACGGGUAGCCGGCCUGAGAGGGUGAACGGCCACAUUGAGACCGAGGUACGGCCGCGUUGGCUACGGGAGGCAGAAGUGGGGAAUCUUGCACAAUGGGCGCAAGCUUGGUGCAGAAACCCCGCGUGUGGGAUAACGGCCUUCGGGUUGUAAACCGCUUUCAGCAGGGACGAGGCUUUUUGUGACGGUACCUGCAGAAGAAGCACCGGCUAACUACGUG
rnacentral:rRNA from 1 species